UACGUAGGGGGCAAGCGUUGUCCGGAAUCAUUGGGCGUAAAGAGCGUGUAGGCGGCUCGGUAAGUCCGCUGUGAAAGUCCAGGGCUCAACCCUGGAAUGCCGGUGGAAACUGUCGGGCUAGAGUCCGGGAAGGAGGAGAGUGGAAUUCCUGGUGUAGCGGUGAAAUGCGCAGAUAUCAGGAAGAACACCCGUGGCUAAGGCGGCUCUCUAGUACGGUACUGACGCUGAGACGCGAAAGCGUGGGGAGCGAACAGG
rnacentral:rRNA from 1 species